UAUAGAUGAUCAUUUCCGUUUAUUUCUAUAGAUUGUUGCCAUGUUGUCGCUAAAGCCUCUGUCAAAUACUCACCAUCGUUUUCACUGCUUAUAUCUUACGCAUUUAUGAACUACCAGUAGAAUCACCUCUGAUUGGCCUUAGUUCCGGUCCGCUUGCAAUAGAACCAUUGGCAGGUUCAUUUUGAGAAAUUACUGGGAUUUUCACUGAUGCUCUUUCCAUCUCUUUUUCCAGCUCUUCUUCUUGGCGCAAAGCAGUAAACUGGGUGUCCAAAGACUUGGCUGCCGCAAGCCACGCAAGAACAAUCACCAGAAGUACACCUCCAAGGUAGGGGGUUGAGUUUGCAAGUGACCCAAAGGUCAAGAUCAUGAAUUGCUGAAUUAAAGCUCCUCCAGAUUUUCCCAAAGGAUUGCAGACAACAUCAAUGGCAGCUUUCCCCUUGACCUGAAGGAAAAAUCAAUAGUAUGACAACCAUGUAAAAAAAGUAUAAUUGCAAAAAUACCAGAAAGUAGUCAACCGGAAACUCAAAUUGUGUUUGUGAUGAUAGAAACGACUGCAAACAUCCACUGUUCUACCAAUGUGAGAAACUACUUAAAAAUGCAAAAUCAGGUUUCCAAUUUACAUUGUAUUAAUACAUAACAUUAAUCAUAUAAUAAAAUUGAAGAUAAGGCAACGCACCUUGGUGUCCUCAUCCAAAGGAAUGUAGGCCAUUUCCUUGCAAGGAUCAAAUAAGCUGUAUUUAGCACUUUUGCUGAAGAUAUUUUGCAUCGCGCCUACAUAAACGGCUGCUAGUAGUGGAGUAAUCCCGAAACUCAUGAGAGCAGGUGUAAGUGGGUCGCCAAACAAGAGUAGAGAGAAAAAUCCCACUCCUGUGAGUAGCAGGACAGUUGGUGUAAUCUUUGCUGCCAUUCCCCAGCCAUAUUUAUUAAAGAUCCAUUGACUUAGCAACAUCAUCGUGAAAGUUGCUAUUCCAGUGGCAGUAGAGAAGUCUCCCAUGAAGGAGGAGUAUUCAUUUGGGCUAGGGAACUGUCAUAAGGAGAACAGAGGGAACAUUAGAAAGUGAGGAAACUAUAUUAGCAAAUUUAAAGGCUGUUUUUAGUUGUACCUGAGCUUUUAGCUUUGAUUUCCAUGUGACCUCAACGAGGUUGAUACUUAUACCAUAUGCUACCACUAGAGUAGCAAGAUCCCUUAUGUAUGGAGAGGACACCAAAAACUUCAAGCUCUCCAUCGUCCCCAUUUUCGGCUUCUCCUGCAAUGAUCAUUAUUUUACUAUGUACUUCACAUGCUGGGAUAACAAUUACUAAUUAACUGCUUUUUUCCGUUCCAAGAAUGGAAUAGAAGUAAAGUUAUUAUUAUUUAUAAAAUAACAUAAAAGGCCACAAGAUAAUGUUACACAAAGUUACCUUCUUCUUCUUACUGCGAGUAGGAAGAGGAACAUAAGUGUUGACCCACCAAUAUAGAGCACAAAUAGCAAGUCCCAUCACCACCACGAUACUCAUCAUCCCUUUAAGUGAAAGAGCCCAACCAUCAACCCCAGGACCCAAAUUCUUCCUCAAAUUAGAGAAGUACUUCACUGUGCGUCCGGAGAAAAUAAGGGCCACGUUUGCUCCCAGCCCAAACAGAGGAUAGAAUUUCUUGGCCUCAUCAACAGUUGUUAUCUGCAAACAUAAGAACAGGAUAUGGUCAAAUUGCAGCUGAAAAAACAUGUCCCUGUUUUUUAGCAUAGUACGAAAAGGCCCCAUAUCCAUAAUAUUUGGUGCCAAAUAUGUAAGUAAUUUAACCCUGACAUGGAAACAGUUAUACGAUUAAGAAAAAACAUAAAUUUUUCCUAUUUAAUGGCCCAACACAACUUACAAUUUACAGAUCCAUCGGAACAAACAAUUUAUACCCACAUAUACAGCAAAAUAAGGUCCUUAUCAGCUAUAUAAGCAACAAUCCCAAACUAUUAGCAAAUUCAUCAACAAAGUAUGCAGGUGGUUUAAUGUAAUUUUAGAGUGAAGCGCUUGUCACACCACUAAGACACGACAUAAUCCAUCAUCCACUAAGACACGAAAUAAUCCAUCAUCAACUAUAUCCUUUUUAAUUAGAUAUGUUAUUCAUUCCAAAAGUUCACCAGAUUUCUCCAUUACAAAGAAGCAAGAGCCGAAAUAUGAUUUCAACACCAAAAAAACAUCACAAUCACUGAGGGACCUCAAAUAGAAUAUGACAAUAAUAGAUUCUAAAACCAUAUACAUAAAACAUCCCAUGUACACAAACUAUUACAAUCAGCUAUAUAUAGUACCAGUAUCCAAGACUUGAUAUUCAACAAAACAAAGCAAAGCAAAAUCACAAACCUUUUAAAGAAUAACAAUCUGAUGCAAAGUAUAAGUAAAAUUGAACUAACGUCGAAGCCAGGAACAUUAUCCAAUAAGUUGAGAAUCGAGAUAAUUACCUGAUUAGCAAACCCCCAAAACAGCACAGAGACAACAACACUGCCCCAAAGCUCAGCCAUAACAUAAAACAAACAGAAACUCCAAAUCCUCAAAAUGGCAAGCGGACCGAGGAACCGAGGCCCAAGUGCAGCAAGCAGCUUAUCAGCCAGAGCAGUAGGGUGAAAAUAGCCAUUCAAAGGAUACAACACAAAGCCAAAAGCCCCAAAA
rnacentral:lncRNA from 1 species